AUUGAACGCUGGCGGCAGGCUUAAUACAUGCAAGUCGAACGGUGUCUUCGGACAUAGUGGCGCACGGGUGCGUAACACGUAUGCAACCUACCUUACAUUGGGGGAUAGCCUUUCGAAAGGGAGAUUAAUACCGCAUAAGACAGUAGCUGGGCAUCCAGCAGCUGUUAAAGAUUUAUCGAUGUAAGCUGGGCAUGCGUCCAAUUAGCUAGUUGGUGAGGUAACGGCUCACCAAGGCAAUGAUUGGUAGGGGAACUGAGAGGUCAAUCCCCCACCCAGGCACUGAGAUACGGGCCAGACUCCUACGGGAGGAAGCAGUAGGGAAUAUUGGGAAAUGGAGACAAGUCUGACCCAGCCAUGCCGCGUGCAAGAUGAAGGCGUUAUGCGUUGUAAACUGCUUUUAUACAGGAAGAAACGACUCUUGCGAGAGGCAUUGACGGUACUGUAUGAAUAAGCACCGGCUAACUCCGUGCCAGCCGCCGCCGUAACAC
rnacentral:rRNA from 1 species